UAGUAGAAUCGAUCUGAUGGCGGCCACCCUCCACGUCGUACGACCGACACGACCGCCUCUGCGCGCACCGCGAAGGUGCUCGGCGCCCGGCGCAAGUUUUCUUGCAAAGAUUUUACAGAGAGAAAUGCAUGCUUGCAGAGAGAGAGAGAAAAAAAAAAGAGCUUAACCUAUUCGCAAGCUCGAUCAUCUCUGUGAGCUCGGCAACAACAAUCUUUGCAAACGACCCAC
rnacentral:lncRNA from 1 species